AUGUUCAGGUGUCCUCAUUUGCAGGUGCAGAUCCCUCUUCCGCCUUCAGCCACAUUUUUUGAACUAUUAAUCACCAGAGUUUCAACAAUUAUGGAAAUAGAGGGAUCUUCCAUGGGAAGAUUAAUUUGCAGAAAGAGUCUUUUCCAUGAGAUGAUGGUACUCAAUGACAAAAGUUUGGCUUUCAAUAAUCUUAAGGAUAUCAAAUACUUGGAGAUAUGGUCGGGCAGAGGCCUAACAUCUAUUUCAUUCAAAGGAUUAAGUCAGCUCAUCUCUUUAAAGAGUUUGAAAAUUGGGUACUGCAGAGAAAUUUUAUUUUCGGAUGAUGCGCCAGAGCAGACCCAUGAAGACAUGAUAACUGCAAAUGAUGCUGCUCUCCCGGCUCUUGAAAGUCUCUGUAUUAAAGAAUGUGGAAUAACAAGGAGGUGGCUAUCUCUGAUUCUGCGACAUUCUCCAGCCCUGAAGAAGUUGCAUUUAUCUAACUGCUCACAGUUGAAACAAUUAUUAAACAUAGAAGAAGGAAAUACUCAAUCAAACCUUCUCUCGGCUUUCGAGGCUUCGUCAUCAGGGUAUCUAUCUGAAGCGUCAACAGGAUAUGCAGAUGACACACGGCCAACCUCAAAUGUAGACGGACUCGUGCACAUUCCGUUGAAUCUCAGAAGGAUAUCAAUUAAGAAUUGCCCUCAUCUAAUAUUUGACGGGAGUAGGGAAGACUGCCAAGAGAACGACAGAUGUCUCCUCCCGCAAUCACUUGAAGAUCUUGAUCUUGAUUGGUUAUUUUAUCCCCGAAAAGCUCUGUGGCCUGCUUUGUGGAAAAUCUCACCUGCCUCAAAAAAUUAA
rnacentral:rRNA from 1 species